UUGUUCCAUUUCUGUCAUGAACUAAUGAGCUAAUUUCAUGCAUAGAAAAGGAAUACCCCUUACACAUGUUUGAAAAUUGAAAUCUCAUGUCGGACAAAUGAUCGAAAUAUAUCGGCAUAGGUCAUAACUAUUUAGAAGUAGUGUUCAUACUGACCUGAACUAACCAGUUAUCACCAUAGAUUUUAUAUCUCAUCUUCACUUUGUUUUGGAUGUCUCCGUUAAACAUGGCAAGCGGUGCUUCAAUAUCUUUGACAUACAUAGCUUCCGAAAGGGCAAUCCCAGGAUACGGAGGUGGAAUGAGCUCAGCAAAAGCUGCAUUGGAGAGCGAUACAAAAGUGCUGGCUUUUGAACUGCACUUGCUUGCCACAAAGCAUCAGGUGCCCUCAAGAGUACUGGGAAGAAUGCCGACAAACUAAAAAAAUGGAGAA